rnacentral:rRNA from 1 species
AUUGAACGCUGGCGGCAGGCUUAACACAUGCAAGUCGAGCGGGGACUUCGGUCCUAGCGGCGAACGGGUGAGGAAUGCUUGGGAAUCUGCCUGGUAGUGGGGGAUAACGUUUCGAAAGGAACGCUAAUACCGCAUACGUCCUACGGGAGAAAGGGGGGGAUCUUCGGACCUCUCGCUAUCAGAUGAGCCCAAGUCGGAUUAGCUAGUUGGUGAGGUAAAGGCUCACCAAGGCGACGAUCCGUAGCUGGUCUGAGAGGAUGAUCAGCCACACUGGAACUGAGACACGGUCCAGACUCCUACGGGAGGCAGCAGUGGGGAAUAUUGGACAAUGGGCGAAAGCCUGAUCCAGCCAUGCCGCGUGUGUGAAGAAGGCCUUCGGGUUGUAAAGCACUUUAAGCGAGGAGGAAUGGCUCUGGGUUAAUACCCUUGAGCAGUGACGUUACUCGCAGAAUAAGCACCGGCUAACUCUGUGCCAGCCGCCGCGGUAAUAC